UACGAAGGGGGCUAGCGUUGCUCGGAAUUACUGGGCGUAAAGGGAGCGUAGGCGGACAGUUUAGUCAGUGGUGAAAGCCCAGGGCUCAACCUUGGAAUUGCCAUUGAUACUGAUUGUCUUGAGUAUGGGAGAGGUGUGCGGAACUCCGAGUGUAGAGGUGAAAUUCGUAGAUAUUCGGAAGAACACCAGUGGCGAAGGCGGCACACUGGCCCAUUACUGACGCUGAGGCUCGAAAGCGUGGGGAGCAAACGGG
rnacentral:rRNA from 1 species